rnacentral:tRNA from 1 species
AACGAUGUAGUUUGAUAUUUAAAAUGUGUGCUCUGCAAGUAUAAGAUGGGUUGUUCGCCUCAUCGUUG